rnacentral:rRNA from 1 species
AGCAGCCGCGGUAAUUCCAGCUCCAAUAGCGUAUAUUAAAGUUGUUGCAGUUAAAAAGCUCGUAGUUGAAUUUCGAGAUCAAUUUGUUGGUCGUGCCUCGGUACGUACUGGCAAUUUUGAUUUCUCCCUUCUGAAGAACCAUGAUGUCAUUAAUUUGGUGUCAUGGGGAAUCAGGACCGUUACUUUGAAAAAAUUAGAGUGUUUAAAGCAGGCUCGCGCUUGAAUACAUUAGCAUGGAAUAGUGAAACAGGACGUUUGAUUCUAUUUUGUUGGUUUCUAGGAUCGACGUAAUGAUUAAUAGGGAUAGUUGGGGGCAUUAGUAUUCAAUUGUCAGAGGUGAAAUUCUUGGAUUUAUUGGAGACUAACUACUGCGAAAGCAUUUGCCAAGGAUGUUUUCAUUAAUCAAGAACGAAAGUUAGGGGAUCGAAGACGAUCAGAUACCGUCGUAGUCUUAACCAUAAACUAUGCCGACUAGGGAUCGGAUGAUGUUAAUUUUUAAUGACUCAUUCGGCUACCG